rnacentral:rRNA from 1 species
GACGAACGCUGGCGGCGUGCUUAACACAUGCAAGUCGAACGAUGAAGCUGGAGCUUGCUCCGGUGGAUUAGUGGCGAACGGGUGAGUAACACGUGAGCAAUCUGCCCUUGACUCUGGGAUAACUGCGGGAAACUGUAGCUAAUACCGGAUACGAGACCUGAAGGCAUCUUAGGGUCUGGAAAGAAUUUCGGUCAAGGAUGAGCUCGCGGCCUAUCAGCUUGUUGGUGAGGUAAUGGCUCACCAAGGCGACGACGGGUAGCCGGCCUGGGAGGGUGACCGUCCACACUGGGACUGAGACACGGCCCAGACUCCUACGGGAGGCAGCAGUGGGGAAUAUUGCACAAUGGGCGAAAGCCUGAUGCAGCAACGCCGCGUGAGGGAUGAAGGCCUUCGGGUUGUAAACCUCUUUUAGCAGGGAAGAAGCGAAAGUGACGGUACCUGCAGAAAAAGCACCGGCUAACUACGUGCCAGCCGCCGCCGUAA